CGCAGGCGUUUCUCGCCAGCCCUGCGGAGAGACUUUUUAACAACCACAACCAAGGAAGAAUAUGAUGUCAGGCACGUGGACAUAACUCCUUUAGAGCAAAGGAAAUUAACUUUUGAUACACACGCACUGGUUCAGGACUUAGAGACUCAUGGAUUUGACAAAGCACAAGCAGAAACAAUUGUAUCAGCCUUAAGCAGUCUAUCCAAUGUCAGCCUGGAUACUAUCUAUAAGGAAAUGGUCACUCAUGCUCAACAGGAAAUAACAGUACAACAGCUAAUGGCCCAUUUGGAUUCCAUCAGGAAAGAUAUGGUCAUCUUAGAGAAAAGUGAAUUUGCAAAUCUGAGAGCAGAGAAUGAGAAAGUGAAAAUUGAAUUAGACCAAGUUUAAACAGCAACUGGUAAAUGAAACCAGUCGAAUCAGAGCAGAUAAUAAACUGGACAUCAACCUAGAAAGGAGCAGAGUAACCGAUAUGUUUACAGAUCAAGAAAAGAAACUUAUGGAAGUGACCACAGAAUUUACCAAAAAGGAUAACCAAACCAAAAGUGUUAUUUCAGAAACCAGUAAUAAAAUUGACAGUGAAAUUGCUUCCUUAAAAAAAGGUUCAAGACUACCCAGAGGCGUUUUAGAAGAUUAA